rnacentral:misc_RNA from 1 species
GCGACUGUGCUGCGAGACAGCGACCCCGCUACGAUGCUGUCGCGCGUGCGCCUCACCCCUCCUCGAUGGAGGCGCGCUGCCUGCACUCAUCCGGGCGCACUGCCUCCCCUCCUCUCCUCUUUUCGUGCUGCCGCACACCGUCUUUUAUUUGCCUGGGCGACAGGUCAGGGACAAGUAAGCGAGCGACAAACCCACCCACCCACCCACACACACACACACACGCUGAGCAGUGCGCGCGCCGGGCAUGCCAUCGUACGCGGAGAUCACUGGCUCCAUCAUGGCGAUGGCGCUUACCACGGACCAGACGCUCUUCAUACUGUACCACUCCAAUAGCUACGCGGCGAACCCGGUGAUGUUGCGCAGCUCGAAGCCGAUGGUGAUGCGUGACGUGUUCCUGACGCGGAGCAGCGCUUUCUACCCGAACCCGCUGUCGUGCCUGUACGUGACCAACGGCACGGACUGCGUCGUCAACUGCGUCAUGGCGUGGGCGGUGGCGAAGCCGCUGACCGAAGUGCUGGGGUGGCGGCACGCGAUGGCCGUGUACGUUGGUGCCGGGUUGUUCUCCAGCUUCGCCUACGUGUUUGCUGCGCAGGUGAGCCGUACGAAGACAAACUCGCCGUUCGACUGCAACGCCACGAGCAACGGUGCCUACGCCGGCUACGCGACGCUGUCGCUGAUGAUGCGAGGGUGCUACAUCCCGUACCUGAAGCGCGUGCCCGUCAUGUGGGCCGGCGUGCCAUACCUGCUCAAGUGCACCUACGACGAGUACGUUUCGCCGAGGCUGGUCGAGCGGCGGCGGGCGGGCGACAUCGAGUUGCGCAACUGGGGGUUUGUCGGCGGUGUCUUCUUCACGCUUAUCUACAGCUCGCUGUUCUUCCGCACUCGCAAGGACUUUAGCCUGGCGAGAAAGUUCUUCCAGAACCUGCCGUCACGCGUCGCGGUGGGGAAGUAGCGGCUCGGCAGCUGCGGGCGUGUGUGAGACCGCCGUCCUGGAGCGAUUCGGACGUGGUGUUUGGUGUUUGCGUUGUCUCCUUUCUCUUGGCUGCCCCCCCCCCUCCCCCCUCCCACCGCAGUGGUGGUCUUAUGUGUGUGUAUGAGGUGUGUGUGCGUGUGGGUGAGAGAUGGGGCGAAAGCAGAGGGCUGCCUGGUCAUAUGCGCUGGUGUUGCGUGCUUCACAGAAGCAACGCCCGCGGCGCAGCUGGCUGUUGUCGGUGUUUCGCGCGCUGUGGGCACUACGUACUGCCCCGCUCCGAUGGUGUGCAGGCGCGCGCACACAAGCGAGAGCGAAGGCGCCAGCACAGCCGCUUUUCCCCUUCCUUAGUCCUUCACCUCAUUUCCCCCUUCAACCGCCCCUUCGCUGUGCAUGGCCGUCCCCCCCCCCUCUCACUCCCUCCUCACGUGCACUUUACACCACGACGCACCUGCGCACUUGUCGAAG